rnacentral:tRNA from 1 species
GGAUGGGUGGCAGAGUAGGCUUAAUGCGGCAGAUUGCUAAUCUGUUGUUGUCUUUAUAGGCAACCGAGGGUUCGAAUCCCUCCCCAUCCGCCA